ensembl:lncRNA
UUCUGAAGGAGAUCAGCCCUGGGAUUUCUUUGGAAGGAAUGAUGCUAAAGCUGAAACUCCAGUACUUUGGCCACCUCAUGCGAAGAGUUGACUCAUUGGAAAAGACUCUGAUGCUGGGAGGGUUUGGGGGCAGGAGGAGAAGGGGACGAGAGAGGAUGAGAUGUCUGGAUGGCAUCACUGACUCGAUGGACGUGAGUCUGUGUGAACUCCGGGAGUUUGUGAUGGACAGGGAGGCCUGGUGUGCUGCUAUUCAUGGAGUCGCAAAGAGUCGGACAUGACUGAGCGACUGAACUGAACUGAAUACAUUUGGGGAGCAAUAAUUUCAAGUCAAAUAACUGUUUCUUUCUACAUAACUGCUGCUGUCAUGAAUAUACAACUGUGUAUCCUGCUUUGUGGGCUUCCCAGGUGGCUCAUUGGUAAAAGAAUCCGCCUGCAAUGCAGGAGACUGGAGUUCAAGCCCUGGGUUGGGAAGAUCCCUGGAGAAGGAAAUGGCAACCCACUCCAGUACUCUUGCCUGGACAAUCCCAUGGACAGAGGAGCCUGGUGGGCUACAGUCCACAGGGUUGCAAAAGAGUCAGACAUGUCUUAGUGACUAAACAACAACAUCCUGCUUUGUAUCCAUGGUGGAAAAUGCCCCCAUAUUAAUGAAACUUUGCUGAAAUAUUAUCUUAAAGUUUAAGGAGAGUGUGACUCCCACACAUCAGAAAGGCCAGGUUCCCUACACAGCCAGUGCUGGAAGCAAGUGGUUGGGCAAACCCCCAUCUUCUUCUAGAUACAGAACAUCCUUGCUCAUCAUCACAGUCCUGAUCCAGGGUGGGGUGGUGCUGAAGAGAGGGGUCUCAUGGCUUCUAAUCCGAUGCUGAUUACUCAUCUUAUUUUUGCCAUAGUUGAAACAUGACAUUGUUUCUGCUCUCUGCCUUUCUUUCCCACUUGAUGAUUGCCAAGAUACUUUCAUCUCUAAAAUGCUCUGUCUCCAGACUUAGUUCCUUAGUACCAUGGAGCACAGGCUUCCCAGGUGGCUGAGCGGUGAGGAAUCCACCUGCAAUGCAGGAGACCCAGGUUCAAUCCCUGGGUCGGAAGAUCCCCUGGAGAAGGGAAUGGCUACCCACUCCAGUGUUCUUGCCUGGAGAAUCCCAUGGACAGAGGAGGCUGGUGGGCUACAGUCCAGAGGGUUGCAAAGAGUCGGACACGACUGAUGCAACUGAGCGCACACGCACACACCAGGGAGCACAGGCUCUUCUCUCCCUGCCCCUCCUUCCCUCUUCCUUCUUCCGUUUUUGUUCUUUCGAUGCCUUUCUAUUGCAUUGCUUGCUCUCUUUCAGACCCUGAUUUAUUUUUCUCACAUCGCAUUUAUAAUCACCCUGUAAAAUAGGCACUCCUAUUAUUAUCCUCAAGUGAUAGACAAGGCAAGCAAAGUCCAGAGGGGCUGAGGGGUAAGUCGGGGAAGCUGAGCACUGCGCUGUCCUCCAGUGACUCUCCUGGAGACCGGCUGCUUGUGGGAGAACCAGCAGUCAGCCUGCCAGGCCAGUCUGCGGGUCACUCACUCACUCAUGGGCUCCCUGGUCACAGUAGGCCGAGGACAUCCCUGUAUUAAGCCUCAGAAGGAAACGUGUUUCAUGGCAGAGGGUAACUCAGGUCGCAGGUGAAAGUGCUUCCUAAUCAGAGGUCCGUAGCGGAGGCGAUUCCCUGUGAGUCAGGUGGACCCAGUAGAAUCUUUAAGAGAGGAAGCGGGAGGCGAGGAGGAGUUAGUGUCUAGGGUCUACAGCUGGCGUCAGCCUUGCAGGAUAGCGGGGUCAAGAGUCCCAGGGUGCAGGCAGCCUCCAGAAGCUGGAAAAUGUCCAGGGAUGACGGAUUCUCCUCUGGAGGGUCCAGGAAGAAGUCCAGCCCUGCCGACCACCUGACCUUAGGCCCGUGAGCCUCUCCUCGAUUUCUGACCUCCAGAACGAAUGCUGCUGCUGGUUUAUCAGAGCUGAUGGAGCUGAGAUGACCCCAGCACAGACCUUCAGAUGUCUCAGUGGCGGGAACGUUGCUUGUAGCCAUCACCUCUUUGAGCAUCUCCAUUGCCCGUGAUCUUCAGAACCUUGCCACUGCCAUCACAUUCCAAGAUGGUACCUCUGGUCUACCUGGAAGACCCUUUCCUCUCCUCUAGAACUGCCGGCACCCCAAGAUCCCAGAGAUCUGUGUGUCCUGGGCCACCUUCUUAGUUCUCGAAGUCUUAACCUCGGGCCUGGUGUCCUUCCAGCAGGAAUGCGGAGCCAUCGCCCAAUGGCAUAUCUACAGUGACUGUGCGUUUUUUAUACAUAAUUUUACUUACUGGCUUAUUGUUUGGCUGUGCUGGAUCUUCACUGGCACACGGGCUUUUCUCUAGUCGUGGAGAGUGGGGGCUACUCUCCAGCUGCCAGGCACAGGCUUCUCCUCGCAGCGCUUCUCUUGCUGUGGAGCAGGGGUUCGGGGGCCUGGGCUUUAGUAGCUGUGGCAUGUGGCCUCAGUAUUUGUGGUUCCUGGGCCCCAGAACUCGGGCUCAGUAUUUGUAGCACAUGGGCUCAGCUGCUCCAUGACAUGUGGGAUCUUCCCGGACCAAGGAUCGAACCCACGUCUCCUGAAGUGGCAGGUGCAUUCUUCACCACUGAGCCACCGGGGAAUCCCUAUGAUGACUAUUCUUCUUAUCCGUGUUAUAGUUCACUCAGGGACUGUGUUAAUACUUGCAUAGAUUAUUUGGUGAUUUCUCGCAAUAACCCCAUCCAUGUCUACUAUGAUCCUCUUUUCCAAGUGAGCGGUGAAAAGGCUGGGAAGGUUUGAGUCAAUCGCUCCAGGGCUACUGUAUGGCAGAGAAGAAUUCAAACCCAGGUCCAGAUCUUGGGCUCCGGACCUCUCUGUUCUAUUGUCCCACCUAAAGAUCCGUGUCAAGGCUCCAGCUUUCUUACAUCAUGCACAAACAUUCAGCAUCCCCCAGGGCCGUUAAAGGCUGGUCAACUCCUUUAGCCUCCGUACUGCAGACCUUGGGGUUCUCAGCACCAUGGGGAGAGCAAGUGAGCAAUCACCUCUCGCCCUCUGGGGCCACACUAUCACUCCUUUGCAAAGAAAAAGAAGUUCGAGUCCUGGAAACAAAAUGGGACCCUCUGAUUUGGAGUCAUAGACUCACUUUCAGGGUGAUAAUCUGUCAGGGUCAAGAGCAAGAAGAAAAGGGAAAAUCAGAGGAAUUAGCAAAUUAGUGUUUUAGGUCUAACUGGAGGUGAGCCAUCAUUUGUGAAUUAAGUUGACAUCACUUAGAUGACUUUACAGGCACGCAGCUCGAUAGUAGACGUUGCCAGUGUUUAUUUGCACAGAUGCAAUGGAGAAAAACAUUUCCGUGGGGUCAUGUUAGCCCAGCUGAUGGACUGAUAAGGGGAGCCGCACCAUCUGUUGACCGCCAAGCCUCGAAGUCCUUUUGGGAUCACCGUCAACCACACUUAGGAUAAUAUGAGAGGAAAUGGAUCAUUUUGGUUUCUCCCUCAUUCAAGCUUUAAUUUAUAUUUUAAACCAAAUAUGGGCCCUGUUCACCACUGGAGCCUCCCUGUAUGUCCCUGUACCUUGCAGACUGUGCUUACUUCCAGGAACACUUGCUGGUUUGAGUUGUUUAUGUCUCCUGAGAGGCUGGGCUUACAUCACAGUCUGUGAUCUCUCAUCUGAUGAAGCAGGCUCCUUGAGGUUCUUUCUGCAAUUGAGCAAAGAGGAAGUAUUAGCAACUGUGUAACAGAGAUGCUGAGAAGCAAUUAGCCCAGAUGCUAAUUUCAUCAGAAAUAGACAUCAAAGCCCUCAUUCCCACCUUCUUUGAAAAUGAGGAAGGGAAUUAUGCAGUGGCUAAGGAAUCCAUGCGAUUGUCCUUGUGCGUAAGCUCCGGUGCCUGUAUCUGUGGGGUGGGCAAGGCAGAGAGGGGUCGGUUCUGGGUUAUCAUGGGAUGCCUCCCCCUGAGCCGACCAAGGAGGGAUUAUAUUGCAGUGGGACCUGGAUUCUCAUCCUUCUUAUUCCUGGAUAUGUGAUGUUAGCCAGUCUCCUGUGCUCUCUGAGUCUCAGCUGGUAUUUGUAAAAUUGGGUCGACAUUACAUGACUGCUCCAAACGUGCCAGUUCCUGCCUGCCUUUGAACACGGGCCUGACAAGGGAACACCGUGCUAGCACUCAGGGACCACAGUGUCACCUAGAGGGACUGAUGGGCAAGAAAAUCUAGUAGAGAGAUGAUUUCGGUGUACCUUAACAGUGUACCUGGGAGGGAGAGAAAGUGGGCUUGUAAGUCUGAAGGAAGAAGUAGAAGAAAGCGAUAAAAAGUGCUUUAUAAACCUUCUCUACAUCUGAAUAAACUUGAAACUUGGAUUCUUUCUGGUUUUAAAGAUGUAUUGGUCAGUAUAGGCUACCUUAUGGUGCAGUAACAAAGACCACACGAUCCAGUGGGUUGACAAAGCAAACAUUUGAUUUUUUUUCUGACCACAUCCAGCUGGUUGCCAAGGGUCGGGCUGGUCCCCGUCCGUUGGAGUCACUCGGAGACCCAGCUCAGUGCAGGCUGUGGGUCGUCAUGGAGUCUGAUCUCCAUGGCAGGAGAUGAGGCUGUCCUCUUAAAAUUUUGGUCUGUGGGACCAUUCUCUCUUCCACUCCCAUGUCAUUGGCCCAAGUGUCACAUGACCGUGUCUGAUUUCAAAGAGGUCAGAGG